rnacentral:tRNA from 1 species
GCGCUGCUCGGCGACGGCGCGUUCGCCGUCAGCCGGCUGCAGCGCGGCUGACCCCGCCCGCGGCGGAGCGCCGCCGCCGGCGGCGCUC